UACGUAGGGUGCGAGCGUUAAUCGGAAUUACUGGGCGUAAAGCGUGCGCAGGUGGUUGUGCAAGCCAGAUGUGAAAUCCCCGGGCUUAACCUGGGAAUGGCAUUUGGGACUGCACGGCUAGAGUGUGGCAGAGGGGGGUGGAAUUCCGCGUGUAGCAGUGAAAUGCGUAGAGAUGCGGAGGAACACCGAUGGCGAAGGCAGCCCCCUGGGUUAACACUGACACUCAUGCACGAAAGCGUGGGGAGCAAACAGG
rnacentral:rRNA from 1 species